rnacentral:rRNA from 1 species
AUGGCGCUGCGCUUGUCGCAGAGCGUCUUCGCCGCCGCGUCCGUCUUCGCCAUGGUCUCCGGCAUCGGCAUCGGCUUCUCCAACCACGGCGCCUACUUCUACAUGAAUCUGGUGUUGAUCCUCCAGCUGAUGUGGAGUCUGUUCCUUGCUUGUGAGGAUAUCUUUGCUCUAAGGAAUAAAAAGUAUCUUCACACCCGGCAUAAUCUAUUGUUCAUUGUUUGCAUUGACAUGGCCAUGGCGAUUCUCAUUUUCACAGGAGCAAGUGCCUCUGCAGGCCUGACAAUUUUGAUCAUGUGGGAUAUGAAGCUCUGCGGGGCAUACCCGCGGCUGGCCUGCCGGCAGUUCGCGCUUUCGACCACCCUGGCGUUCAUCACGUGGUUGUUGCAAGCUGCGUCUGUUUUCUCUGGGUUCCGGCUACUGGCUUCGUUCUUCUAG